AUCUGUCAAGCUUUACUGCCUUUGUAAAGCCAUCAGCAAGUUGCAGUUCUGUGGGGCAAUAGUGCAGCUCAAUCAUUCAAUUAGUCACCUGCUCUCUAAUGAAAUGGAAUCUGGUCUCAAUGUGUUUACUCCUGCCAUGUGAGAUUGGAUUCUUUGCAAGACUUAUGGCUGAUUUAUUAUCAAUUUUCAGUGUUAGAGGCUUCAUCACU
rnacentral:lncRNA from 1 species